CAGUAGCCGCGGUAAUACGUAGGUCCCGAGCGUUGUCCGGAUUUAUUGGGCGUAAAGCGAGCGCAGGCGGUUAGAUAAGUCUGAAGUUAAAGGCUGUGGCUUAACCGUAGUACGCUUUGGAAACUGUUUAACUUGAGUGCAAGAGGGGAGAGUGGAAUUCCAUGUGUAGCGGUGAAAUGCGUAGAUAUAUGGAGGAACACCGGUGGCGAAAGCGGCCCUCUGGCUUGUAACUGACGCUGAGGCUCGAAAGCGUGGGGAGCAAACAGGAUUAGAUACCCCCGUAGUCCCUGUCUCUUAUACA
rnacentral:rRNA from 1 species